GACGAACGCUGGCGGCGUGCUUAACACAUGCAAGUCGAACGGAAAGGCCCUGCUUUUGUGGGGUGCUCGAGUGGCGAACGGGUGAGUAACACGUGAGUCACCUGCCCUUGACUUUGGGAUAACUUCAGGAAACUGGGGCUAAUACCGGAUAGGAGCUCCUGCUGCAUGGUGGGGGUUGGAAAGUUUCGGCGGUUGGGGAUGGACUCGCGGCUUAUCAGCUUGUUGGUGGGGUAGUGGCUUACCAAGGCUUUGACGGGUAGCCGGCCUGAGAGGGUGACCGGCCACAUUGGGACUGAGAUACGGCCCAGACUACUACGGGAGGCAGCAGUGGGGAAUAUUGCACAAUGGGCGGAAGCCUGAUGCAGCAACGCCGCGUGCGGGAUGACGGCCUUCGGGUUGUAAACCGCUUUCGCCUGUGACGAAGCGUGAGUGACGGUAAUGGGUAAAGAAGCACCGGCUAACUACGUG
rnacentral:rRNA from 1 species